AUUGAACGCUGGCGGCAUGCCUUACACAUGCAAGUCGAACGGCAGCACGGGAGCAAUCCUGGUGGCGAGUGGCGAACGGGUGAGUAAUAUAUCGGAACGUGCCCAGUAGUGGGGGAUGACUGCUCGAAAGAGCAGCUAAUACCGCAUGAGACCUGAGGGUGAAAGCGGGGGAUCGCAAGACCUCGCGCUAUUGGAGCGGCCGAUAUCAGAUUAGCUAGUUGGUGGGGUAAAGGCCUACCAAGGCAACGAUCUGUAGUUGGUCUGAGAGGACGACCAGCCACACUGGGACUGAGACACGGCCCAGACUCCUACGGGAGGCAGCAGUGGGGAAUUUUGGACAAUGGGCGCAAGCCUGAUCCAGCAAUGCCGCGUGCAGGAAGAAGGCCUUCGGGUUGUAAACUGCUUUUGUCAGGGAAGAAAUCCUCUGGGUUAAUACCUCGGGGGGAUGACAGUACCUGAAGAAUAAGCGCCGGCUAACUACGUGCCAGCCGCCGCCGUAACAC
rnacentral:rRNA from 1 species